rnacentral:rRNA from 1 species
UACGGAGGGAGCUAGCGUUUUCGGAAUUAUUGGGCGUAAAGAGCUCGUAGGCGGUUUGUUGCGUCGGCUGUGAAAUCCCGAGGCUCAACCUCGGGUCUGCAGUCGAUACGAGCAAACUAGAGUGUUGCAGGGGAGACUGGAAUUCCUGGUGUAGCGGUGAAAUGCGCAGAUAUCAGGAAGAACACCAAUGGCGAAAGCAGCUUUCUGGGACGGUACUGACGCUGAGACGCGAAAGCGUGGGGAGCGAACAGG